rnacentral:lncRNA from 1 species
AGAGGGGCAGGGCAUGGCUGCUCUCCUCUGGGGGAGGGAGUUCACAGCUACUGCAGCAUUGCCACAGUCUGGGGCCAGAACUGUCAGGGAAAUUCCCAGUUUUCCAAAGGCAUUGGCCUGAAACACAGUUUAUACACAGAAUCUUUGUCAUUUCCUAUCAGCCAUAAAGAGGGUCUUUAAGCACUUCUCUUGCAGACAUAAUGGUUCAAUUUGCAAGUUUAAUUUUUUUCCGUUUUUUUCCAGAGAGGCGUUGUCAAAUAUGUAUUUAUUUUUUGAGGAAAGAACAAACUUUUACAGACCUUCUGCAAAACCUUGUAAAAAUAUAAUCUCUCCUUGUGCCAGACAACCGGUGCCUGCUGACUCAAUUGCUUUUAUAUAUGACAAGGCUUGAAAAAAAUGAUUGCUGCUGCCUAACUCAGAGCAGAUUGGAGUGAAGUGCAGGACUCAUCCAUCAGAGGUGCCACGCUGGGUACGUGGAAUGCAGAGCCCUGGGGCUGGCAGCAUCGCGGUGCUUUUCUCCUAAAUCUCCCCUUCAGCCAGGGAGCUGCAGGGCUGGGUGCUCCUGGCUGCUGCCCAGGGGCCAGAGCAGCAGCGCAGGGUGACACCCCAGUGCUGGGUGUCACUCAGUGCUCCCAGCUGCUGGCAGCUGCUCCUCAGCCAGGGCAAUCACAGACAUGAGCUGGCUUCAGUUUAAUGAAUAUGCAAAACAGUGGUUAACGGCCCCGAAAAAAACUGCUGGGCGACGUGGCCCAUAGAGCUAAUGCCAUCCUCAGGCCUGCCAUCAUCCAGCACUCCAGUGCCACUGGAGCCUCUCCUCCUGCUCUGGGACCAGAGACAGGUGAGGGGUGGGCAGGUGAGGCCACUCAGUCCCUCUUUGCCACUCUCUGAGGGGGGAAGAAAUUCCCCCUGGAAAAGCUGCUCCCUGCUGCUGUUCCCUGUGUCCAAAAGUCAGUGUUGGAGAGAUCUCCCUGUGCCACUGGUGUCACACAGAGCUGUGUCACACAGAGCUGUGUCACACAGAGCUGUGUCAGGGGCCAGCCUGCAGUGGGGGAUUGGUGAGGUGCAUCCAUCCCAAAAGCUGCUCAAGCCUGCAGCAAUCACAGCACAUCCCCUUGCCUGGAGUGCCCACUGGGACCCAGAGCAUGAGAGGGCUCCAGUUACAGCAGCCAGGCUGAACUGGGGAGUGUUUAACUGACUAAUUAAGCACAGACCUUGCAUGUGGGGACUUCCUGAGCAGGGAGAUGCCAGGGGGAUAUUUCUGAAUGCUGCUCUACAGCUGCAAAUUAAUUCUUUGAGAUGUUGCGUGGAUUAGAAGGCAGAGGCAGGCUGGAGCUGGUAAUUAGCAGCUCUGGGAUGGGGCAGUCCCAGCUGCUGGAGUGCAGAGUCCCAGGGUGCCUGGAGCAGGAGCAGUGCUGGAAACACAGUGCUGGGGACACCAAGGACAUCAGGGUCAUCCACCGUGGAUGUCAGUGCCCAUGAUAACACAGGACCAGAGCUGGGUGGGCAAAGGUUAACUCCAUCCUGGAGCCCCACUCAGGGGCUCAGACCCCCAGAACCAGGGACAGGAGCUGCCAGGCCCUGGGGUGGGAGGGGGCAGGAGGCAGCCCCCUCCCCUUGGGGUGAGCCAAGACCCUCUUGGCUGAACAGCUCCAGCCACCCUGCUGAUGCUGAGGUGUUCUGAGGGAAAGUGUCAGCCCUGGUGAAACUCUCAGUGGAAAAUGCUGGCAAUGAUUUGAGGUAUAAAUGCCAACUUUCAUUACAGCUCUCCUGGCUGCUUUGUUAUGGCAUUUUCUCUUCUAGGAGACAAGACCACGUUCACAUCAUCACUGAAACAUUCCUUCCUCAGCCUCUGAACUCACUUUCUCCUCAACUGCCCCAUCCACAAGACACACGAGAAUUUGACUUUGCCCUGGUUUGUGAUGACCAGCAGUCAAGGAGGAUCUUUGCCCAGGAAGAGAAGUGAGUGCUCAGAAAGCAGAAUCUGCAAAGCUUGGUGGGAAACGAGCCCUGAGGCUGCAGAGCUGAAGUACAGAGCAGGAGGGGAGGUGCUGUGCAGCAGAGAUGGGGGAUCCUCUGACCCCUCCAGGGAGUGUGCAGGCUGCUGAGCUGCUGCGUGAUGAAUGAGAAACCCAGGGAUUACAAUAAUUUUGUUAAAG